GGGGCUGUAGCUCAGCUGGGAGAGCGUCGCGUUCGCAAUGCGAAGGUCAGGGGUUCGAUCCCCCUCAGCUCCAC
rnacentral:tRNA from 1 species